GGGCCGGGCCGGGGCGGGCGGCGGCGGCGCCCCCGUGCAGAUGUGCUGCGGGCGCCCCCGGCAGCAGCCCGGCCGAGCCCCGGCCCGGCCCCCGCCGGUCGCCCACCCGGCGGCGGGGCGGCUGCCGCCUGGGAGAGGGCUUUGCGGCGGGCCUCGCCGGCACACGGAGCGAGCGUAAAGCCACCCCUGGUGCCCAACGAGUGUCGGCCCGCGGUGGCUCUCCAAGCCACGCCGCCUCCCCGGCGCGCAGAAGAACGCCCGCCGCACAGCCCGUGUCUGCGCCUACGGCCGUCGGUCGGAAAGACGUUGCGGGGCAUGCAAAGUUGCUGUUUGCACAGCUCCCAGAUAUUAUAGGUCUUGUUGGAUGCAUGCUCUGAAAAUGAUGGUCUGAAGAAGUACCUCCAGCGGAAACCUGUCCUGCGUUUAUCCUCGCUCUGUCCACCCCAAGGUACCUGCAGGAGGCAGGUUGUGGACCACAGUUUUUUGUAGGGCUGCUGGUGUACCCUGGGGCAGGACACGGCAAAGGCAGCGGGGCAGCGCUGCGACGGACAAUGCCGUCAGAGACAUGGCAGUCCUCGUGGCACGUCCUUCCAACCAACCUGCGGGGAAAGUUUUGCUGGAAAUGCCAUCACAGGCCCCAAAGUUUGAACUGUUUCUCAUUCGGAGCGAAACCAGAUUGUUCCACAAAGGCUGCUCACAGCUAAACUGUGUUGUUUUCCCAGUGCAGCUGGGAUGCAGCUGGUGCAUCUUUCCCUUCCCAUGUGAGCUCUGUGCAGAAGGAGGCUCAGCCAGGAGGAGGCUGAGAAUUGCUCAAAGACACAGCCUGUGGCCUGAAAAGAAACUGAACUCAGUUUUCCCAAAUUUCAGCCCUCGCUAUGUGCUGAUACCUGAGCGUACUUGGUUCCAGCUAAGAAAAGUAGCGUCUCUCCAGCACCAGGCAACUUCUCCAUUGCCUGGACUUCAGACAGAUGCUGACCCUGAACAACCAAACCAUGUGCUGCUCAUGUGCUAGAGCCUUCCCUCUUAUUUCUGCUCAGAUGUGAGCUCUCUCCUGAAGCUGGAUCUCUCUGACCUUAAGUUGUGUCUCCAUUUCUUACUAUAUGGGGAUCAAGGAAUAGUCCUACAAGCUGUGUGUAAAAACAGAUUACAUAACAGGGCACAACAUGGAACCAAUAUUGCCCAGUCCUAGGCCUCCACAAGCUUGAACUUUUCAUGUACUCUUUCAUAGUUUUCAAGUUUCAUUUAAAGCUGUGGUGAAAUUUGCCAAACCUGAUUACACUUCUUCUCUGACUAAAAGCACUGAUGUCCUCAGAAAAUGUUUCAAGCAUAUUUUCAUAUUCUUAUAUUUUUAGGAAUCUGCUGGUAUUUAGGCUGCAUUCUAAGAACAUCUGAUUUCACAGAAAUACUGCAUUUUAGAGACUUUGCUGUUAUCCUAGUUCAGGACAUAAAUUAUGAGGUCUGUUUUUUCAACAGUAUAACAAUACCUUGCUAUUGCAACAUGCUGUCAUGGCAGUCUGUCACAAAGUGAUCCCCUAUUGCAGCUAGAUUCAGAUUCAGAGAAGGUGUAGAGGGUCUAAACAAAUUGUGUUUGUUUAGAACUGUUUACAUCCAUUUAAUAUGGCUUGGUUGUAUGGAAGUCCAAGCUAUGACAGUUUAUUCACUCCUCUGUUCUCCAACCGUAAGCUAUUGGACUGUUUGGCGAGUCUUAAAACGAUGCUGGAAGCUUUGGUCCGUGCACAUUAAGGUACAUGUGUAGUUCUCUUCUGAUUAGCAGUCUUCUAAUUUCCUGAGACCAAGUGCAGUAAGAACAGCAACAAUUUAAUACAAAAAUCUGUAAAAGAAUUGAAUGCACCAUUGGAGAGAACCACAUGUGACACAAGAACCAUCUGUGGAAGAUCAUUUGUCUAAAGUAAGUACCAUUUGGGUUCAAUACAAAAUGUUCAUUUGAAAAGUAAAAGUUGAGGAUUAUAACAUAUUUUCAUGAUAAAUCUUUUUCUCCACAACAAUUUCAUACUGUUGUUAAUGACCAUUUUGGAUCUAUGCCUAGAGCAAAGAUAUUAUCCUUGGAUCUGGUAAUGAGUUUGUAAAUGAUCCUGAACAAAUGGUGAAGAAUUAUUUACUAAUAAUUCUGUUCAAUCCACAGAUGAGCCUUUUCUUAAUCGAGGUAAUUAUCAGCAUAAUUUGAGAGUAUUUAAUUAUAUAGACUUGUCUCUGACAAGUGAGUUUGUUUUUUGUUUCCCCUUUCCAAUUUUGUUCAUUAACUGGGAAGCUGAAGGAGAUUCUGAAAGCAGCAGAACACCUGGUUAUCUUUCAGUGUAACACAGUUAUUCACAUACUGACUUCUGUUCUGCGUAUUGUUCGAAUGUUGAUCAUGCUGAAGUCCAUGCCCCAUUUCACUUCUCUUUUGAUUGUUGUGACCUUUUUCUUUUAGAAACUGUACUUCUUGGAAGGAUAACCACCUAAGUUCUAGAAUAGGCUGGACAGUCAUGUUGCCCUAAAUGUGAAGAAAACAAAAUGCUGGAAUGCAGUUAAAAGUACAGAUAUUAUGAUUACCUGCAGAUGACAUUUAGGGACCACUGUUUUAUAUUUUUGAUAUUUGAUGAAACUCAUCAUUAUGUUUCUUUCAUAUUUCAAAUCAAGAGUGAUUAUUUCCAGUUCAGAAGUUUGGGAAAUUCUAUUCUGGCAAUUUAUAGACCAUAAAUUUCCUUGCACAUUAUUUUGUCGAAAUUACUGAAAACAAUUGUUGCUGUUGAGUCUGCUGAAUAUUUAAACCAAUAAAAUAGUCAACUUUUGUGCACCAGAAUGUCACAUAAUGAAAAGUAAUUCUAUCACUAUUAGAGUAAAAUCAAGACCAAAUAAUUAGUGCCAGAUUUUAUUAAGGUGCUUGCAUAAAUAGCUUUUUAUACAUUAGUAAUAAAAUAUCGUUUGGGCAUAAUGUUGGUUUCUUUCAGCACAUGCAGCAAAAUAAUUCUGAUUUCCUCUUCAGAGUACAUUUUUGCCCAUGGUCUAAUAGAGUCAGCUCUUUGGCUGGAUAGCAGGAGUAUAUCAGAAUGAUAUCGGCCAUGGUGUGGUUCACGUUCAUGGAAGGAGGAAAACAAGAGAAGACACAUUUUGUAAUGUUUUGAGAAUCUCCAAAUGCCAAUAUCAUUUGGCUUCCUUUUACCCUCAGCAAGGAGCCAGGGAAGCAGCAACCUGUCUCCCUUGCAGAAGUGGGCCCUGUCAGCCCAGAAAAGCGCUCCUGUGGCUGAAGUCAUGCAUUUCAUGUGCAAUUCGGAGAGAGACGGUUGUGUUAUGCAUGCUCCUGCCUAGCUGUGUAAGUGCCCCUAGAGGUGAGGUGUUGAGGAGAGGUGCCUUUGCCAGGCCCUCCCACAGUGGAGGGAGAGGGAGCUGGUGUAACCUAGUCCUUUAUGGGGCAUCUACAGUGUGUGGCUCAGUCCAGCUGAGUCUUUGCCCAGAAUUCGCUGGUUCUGUUAAUACAGGCUCACAUGGCACAUCCAAAUACAUCAUUUCUGGUCAUCCUCACUUCUUACCUUCCACUGCAGACCGCAAUCCAACAGAGGCUAAGCUACUAUGCCUUGCAUACUGCUUGGCCACAGAGGAGGAGCACAGCAAGAAAAACAAAUGAAAAGACAGUGUAUCCUCCCUACUUUAACACUAUUACAACUUAUUUUGGCUUCUCAGCACAUAAGUUACACCCACCAAGACUCCCUGACACUUCAACAAGUGGGUGUAAGUAGGUCCAGGGGAAUAUUAAAUUAUGACUCCUCAUCUCUGAAUUCAGCCCAAAAGUACAGAAAAACUUUGAAAAUCAGGAUUGGAAUGAUUCCAAUGAUUAAGUAUUUUGCUUACCAUGUAGAACACAUCUGUAAUUUAUGUAAAUUACUGUUUAUGGAGAGCACUGAACCUUUGAAGUUUUGCUUGUUGGGGCAUAAUGACAAUAACUCAUAGCCACUCUAAUAAGUAUUUUUAGUCUUAUUUACUAGGGUUACAUUGGUCUUGCUUUUUAGACUAAACAGACUUCAAAAGGAAUAGAUGAACUGAAAGAUAGGUAGUGAUAAAUAGUCCCUUGUAUAUUCUGAGUUCAUAUUGUCAACAGUUGCUUCUGAUGCAGUAUUUCUGUAUUCUUUCACAUAGAUUAUAUGCCACUAGGUAGCCACUGAAAAUAUUAAUUAGAGCUUUGGAGAGAUACCAUGUCUUUUUCAUGGUAUCAGACUUCAUAAAUACUACACACAAAUAAUUGUUGUCAAAAAACAUUACUAAGGUUGUGAAGCGAAGCACUCCAGACCUAGGACAUGCCAGAAGGAAGAUUGCCUGUGUGAUCUUAAUUUUUCUGUAUAUGUUUGAAAUUAUUGAUCAGACAUUUAUUCUCACUGAUAAAAAGUAUUGAUCUAGGAUUUAGGUUUCGAUAUAUUAAUUUUUUGUCUAAUAACCCUCCUUUAUUCAGUACAGAGAAUGGACUGAACUCAUUUAACAAACAGCUAUUCAGUAUUUUAUUUUCUCUUCAUUAUUACUCUAGGUCCCAUUCACUGCAACAUUCAAGCUCUGCUCUGAAGAUAAAAUUAUUAAUUUCCUCUAUGCCUGUCAUCAGUGUAGCAUUUGUAUAUUUCCCAAAUGUUAAUUAAUCUUUGCAAACAUCUUUGCAAUCAAAAAGGAGUAUUAUUACCACUAUUUUAUAGGACUGAGCUACAGUAAGAUUAAAAUUAAAAGUUAUCUUCUCA